rnacentral:rRNA from 1 species
UAACCGGAGCUGAGGGUCUCUGGGUCCACCUCCCACCCGUGUUUAUCGUACCUUGUUGCUUCGGCGAGCCCGCCUCACGGCCGCCGGGGGGCAUCCGCCCCCGGGCCCGCGCUCGCCGAAGACACCAUUGAACUCUGUCUGAAGAUUGCAGUCUGAGUGAUUAACUAAAUCAGUUAAAACUUUCAACAACGGAUCUCUUGGUUCCGGCAUCGAUGAAGAACGCAGCGAAAUGCGAUAAGUAAUGUGAAUUGCAGAAUUCAGUGAAUCAUCGAGUCUUUGAACGCACAUUGCGCCCCCUGGUAUUCCGGGGGGCAUGCCUGUCCGAGCGUCAUUGCUGCCCUCAAGCACGGCUUGUGUGUUGGGCCCCGCCCCCCGGUUCCGGGGGGCGGACCCGAAAGGCAGCGGCGGCACCGCGUCCGGUCCUCGAGCGUAUGGGGCUUCGUCACCCGCUCUGUAGGCCCGGCCGGCGCCCGCCGGCGACCCCAAUCAAUCUAUCCAGGUUGACCUCGGAUCAGGUAGGGAUACCCGCUGAACUUAAGCAUAUCAAUAAAGGGGAGGAA